rnacentral:rRNA from 1 species
UAGGGAAUCUUCCACAAUGGACGAAAGUCUGAUGGAACAACGCCGCGUGAACGAUGAAGGCCUUCGGGUCGUAAAGUUCUGUUGUAAGGGAAGAACAAGUGCCGCAGGCUAUGGCGGCACCUUGACGGUACCUUGCGAGAAAGCCACGGCUAACUACGUGCCAUCAGCCGCGGUAAUACGUAGGUGGCAAGCGUUGUCCGGAAUUAUUGGGCGUAAAGCGCGCGCAGGCGGCCUCUUAAGUCUGAUGUGAAAGCCCCCGGCUCAACCGGGGAGGGCCAUUGGGAACUGGGAGGCUUGAGUAUAGGAGAGAAGAGUGGAAUUCCACGUGUAGCGGUGAAAUGCGUAGAGAUGUGGAGGAACACCAGUGGCGAAGGCGACUCUUUGGCCUAUAACUGACGCUGAGGCGCGAAAGCGUGGGGAGCAAACUGGAUUUAGAUACCCUGGUAGUCCACGCCGUAAACGAUGAGUGCUAGGUGUCGGAGGGUUUCCGCCCUUCAGUGCUGAUGCUAACGCAUUAUGCACUCCGCCUGGGGAGUACGGUCGCAAGGCUG